CCAGAGCUUGCUCUGGUGAUUAGUGGCGAACGGGUGAGUAACACGUGAGCAAUCUGCCCUUGACUCUGGGAUAAGCGUUGGAAACGACGUCUAAUACCGGAUACGACCCUCGGAGGCAUCUCCUGGGGGUGGAAAGAAUUUUGGUCAAGGAUGAGCUCGCGGCCUAUCAGCUAGUUGGUGAGGUAAUGGCUCACCAAGGCGACGACGGGUAGCCGGCCUGAGAGGGUGACCGGCCACACUGGGACUGAGACACGGCCCAGACUCCUACGGGAGGCAGCAGUGGGGAAUAUUGCACAAUGGGCGAAAGCCUGAUGCAGCAACGCCGCGUGAGGGACGACGGCCUUCGGGUUGUAAACCUCUUUUAGUAGGGAAGAAGCGAAAGUGACGGUACCUGCAGAAAAAGCACCGGCUAACUACGUGCCAGCAGCCGCGGUAAUACGUAGGGUGCAAGCGUUGUCCGGAAUUAUUGGGCGUAAAGAGCUCGUAGGCGGUUUGUCGCGUCUGCUGUGAAAACUGGAGGCUCAACCUCCAGCCUGCAGUGGGUACGGGCAGACUAGAGUGCGGUAGGGGAGAUUGGAAUUCCUGGUGUAGCGGUGGAAUGCGCAGAUAUCAGGAGGAACACCGAUGGCGAAGGCAGAUCUCUGGGCCGUAACUGACGCUGAGGAGCGAAAGCGUGGGGAGCGAACAGGAUUAGAUACCCUGGUAGUCCACGCCGUAAACGUUGGGAACUAGAUGUGGGGACCAUUCCACGGUCUCCGUGUCGCAGCUAACGCAUUAAGUUCCCCGCCUGGGGAGUACGGCCGCAAGGCUAAAACUCAAAGGAAUUGACGGGGGCCCGCACAAGCGGCGGAGCAUGCGGAUUAAUUCGAUGCAACGCGAAGAACCUUACCAAGGCUUGACAUAUACGAGAACGGGCCAGAAAUGGUCAACUCUUUGGACACUCGUAAACAGGUGGUGCAUGGUUGUCGUCAGCUCGUGUCGUGAGAUGUUGGGUUAAGUCCCGCAACGAGCGCAACCCUCGUCCUAUGUUGCCAGCACGUAAUGGUGGGAACUCAUGGGAUACUGCCGGGGUCAACUCGGAGGAAGGUGGGGAUGACGUCAAAUCAUCAUGCCCCUUAUGUCUUGGGCUUCACGCAUGCUACAAUGGCCGGUACAAAGGGCUGCAAUACCGUAAGGUGGAGCGAAUCCCAAAAAGCCGGUCUCAGUUCGGAUUGAGGUCUGCAACUCGACCUCAUGAAGUCGGAGUCGCUAGUAAUCGCAGAUCAGCAACGCUGCGGUGAAUACGUUCCCGGGCCUUGUACACACCGCCCGUCAAGUCAUGAAAGUCGGUAACACCCGAAGCCAGUGGCCUAACCCGUAA
rnacentral:rRNA from 1 species